rnacentral:lncRNA from 1 species
CCUCAUUCAAUUUGGCAGAAAAAAAGGAGAGCGCCGCCUCUCGUUUUCCUUUCUCUGCCGUUUCAAGUCCCGAGCCUCUGCCCAUUCGACUUCGAUUCGUAGAGGAGGAGAAGGCAUCAUCGGCGCAUCCACGAAGGUAAGUUCUCGUCCCUAAGCCUCUUUUUAUUAUCUCUAUAUCUAUAUGAGACCAGAAGAAAAGGCAAGAAGAGAAUACAGAAAGAAAAAAAGGGAAAAAGAACCACCUUAGAAAGAAAAAAUAAUCUUUUGAUUUCUCUCUGUUUUUUCUAUUUGGUACAAUAUCCUUCACAAAUGCUGAAAGAUGGCCUUUUAUGGCCGAAAAUAAUAAAAAUUACAAGAGAAAAAUGUGCUUUGCUCUUUUUUCCAUUUUUCUUUUUUUUCUAUCAAUCUUUUAUUGCUCCUUUGUUCUGCCUUUUCUGCGUUGUUGCGUUUGUUGCUUGUGUACAUGUACGGCGUCUUUGUUGUAGGUGUCGUUGGCGUGAGGCCGUAUGUUGACGUGGCGCGGCUCAGCGCGAGGGCAAAGGCUUGGAGGCACAUGUGGGGAGGCCACACAUGGGGGCUUGCGGCGGCUGAGAUCUUAGAUACCCUAGGGCUUCUGCUUGUUUCAAUUCUGCGCUAGGGGUAUCGGGCCACUGUAAUUGGGCUGCUUGGGUUUAGGCUAGUUGGGCUAUCAGGCAUUUAGACUAGGAUUUGGGCUUGUACUGGGCCAUAUAUUUUUGGUAAACUGAUCUGUUUAAUUAUUUUUGUUUGGUUUUAUUUCCUUUGUGAUUUUGGGCCCGGGCAAAUUGGCCUACAACAAUAUGUAUAUAGUUUUGAUGUGUAUAAGAGUUUACUUGGAAUGAGGAUCACUUUGAUCCUUAAAAGACAUUUGAAAUGAAUGCUGAAUCGGUAUGUUAUAAUUGAGUGCAAAGGU